UACAGAGGUCUCAAGCGUUGUUCGGAUUCAUUGGGCGUAAAGGGUGCGUAGGCGGCGCGGUAAGUCGGGUGUGAAAUCUCGGGGCUUAACUCCGAAACUGCAUUCGAUACUGCCGUGCUUGAGGACUGGAGAGGAGACUGGAAUUUACGGUGUAGCGGUGAAAUGCGUAGAUAUCGAGAGGAACACCAGUGGCGAAGGCGGGUCUCUGGACAGUUCCUGACGCUGAGGCACGAAGGUCAGGGGAGCAAACGGG
rnacentral:rRNA from 1 species